rnacentral:rRNA from 1 species
AUUGAACGCUGGCGGCAGGCCUAACACAUGCAAGUCGAGCGGAUGAAGGGAGCUUGCUCCUGGAUUCAGCGGCGGACGGGUGAGUAAUGCCUAGGAAUCUGCCUGGUAGUGGGGGAUAACGUCCGGAAACGGGCGCUAAUACCGCAUACGUCCUGAGGGAGAAAGUGGGGGAUCUUCGGACCUCACGCUAUCAGAUGAGCCUAGGUCGGAUUAGCUAGUUGGUGGGGUAAAGGCCUACCAAGGCGACGAUCCGUAACUGGUCUGAGAGGAUGAUCAGUCACACUGGAACUGAGACACGGUCCAGACUCCUACGGGAGGCAGCAGUGGGGAAUAUUGGACAAUGGGCGGAAGCCUGAUCCAGCCAUGCCGCGUGUGUGAAGAAGGUCUUCGGAUUGUAAAGCACUUUAAGUUGGGAGGAAGGGCAGUAUGUUAAUACCUUGCUGUUUUGACGUUACCAACAGAAUAAGCACCGGCUAACUUCGUG